rnacentral:rRNA from 1 species
CCUACGGGUGGCAGCAGUGGGGAAUAUUGCACAAUGGGGGAAACUCUGAUGCAGCGACGCCGCGUGAGUGAAGAAGUAUUUCGGUAUGUAAAGCUCUAUUAGCAGGGAAGAAAAUGACGGUACGUGAUUAAGAAGCACCGGCUAACAACGUGCCAGCAGCCGCGGUAAUACGCAGGGGGCAAGCGUUAUCCGGAGUUACUGGGUGUAAAGGGGGCGUAGACGGCAGCAACGGUCUGGAGUGAAAUGCCGGGGCUUAACCCCGGAACUGCUUGGGAAACUGUGCAGCUAGAGUGCAGGAGGGGUAGGUGGAAUUCCUAGUGUAGCGGUGAAAUGCUUAGAUAUUAGGCGGAACACCAGUGGCGAAGGCGGCUUACUGGACUGUUUCUGACGUUGAGGCUCGAAAGCGUGGGGAGCAAACAGGAUUAGAUACCCUUGUAGUC